rnacentral:misc_RNA from 1 species
AAAGUCGUAACAAGGUCUCCGUUGGUCAACCAGCGGAGGGAUCAUUACCGAGUUUACAACUCCCAAACCCCUGUGAACAUACCUACGUUGCUUCGGCGGACCACCCCAACCCCCUCGGGGCGAGGGGCCGCCAGAGGACCCAAAACCCAACUGUUUUUUCCGUAACGAAACCUAUUCUGAGUGGAAUUAUUAAAUAAAUCAAAACUUUCAACAACGGAUCUCUUGGCUCUG